rnacentral:rRNA from 1 species
UACGUAGGGGGCAAGCGUUGUCCGGAAUCAUUGGGCGUAAAGCGCGUGUAGGCGGCCCGAUAAGUCCGCUGUGAAAGUCCAGGGCUCAACCCUGGAAUGCCGGUGGAUACUGUCGGGCUCGAGUCCGGAAGAGGCGAGUGGAAUUCCUGGUGUAGCGGUGAAAUGCGCAGAUAUCAGGAGGAACACCGGUGGCGAAGGCGGCAUCCUGGGCCGGCAUUGACGCUGAUGAGCGAAAGCCAGGGGAGCAAACGGG